AUUGAACGCUGGCGGCAGGCCUAACACAUGCAAGUCGAACGAGUGGCGGACGGGUGAGUAAUGUCUGGGAAACUGCCUGAUGGAGGGGGAUAACUACUGGAAACGGUAGCUAAUACCGCAUACCAUCGGAUGUGCCCAGAUGGGAUUAGCUUGUAGGUGAGGUAACGGCGCACCUAGGCGACGAUCCCUAGCUGGUCUGCGAGGAUGCCCAGCCACUCUGCUAAUGAGACCAGGUCCAGACUCCUACGGGAGGCAGCAGUGGGGAAUAUUGCACAAUGGGCGCUAGCCGGAGGCAGCCAUGCCGCGUGUAUGAAGAAGACCUUCGGGUUGUAAAGUACUUUAAGCGGGGAGGCGUUACCCGCAGAAGAAGCACCGGCUAACUCCGUGCCAGCCGCCGCGGUAAUUC
rnacentral:rRNA from 1 species